UCAGAAUGAAGAAAUGGAGAGUGCCUGGAGAGGUGUUUAGAGGGGCGAGGCGUCUAGGAUGAUGGUCCUGCCAUCACUGAGAUGGACCAGACGCGGCGAGUUGGAGAUGCGUGCACGGCAAGCCAAGUGGAACUGUCCGGCCAGGCCAGCGAAGAGAUGGGCGCGCCGAGGGCUGCAGAUGGAGCCUGGAGUGGGAGGCGCCUCCUGUGGGUGGUUAAUAACCACUCACAGCAAAUGAGUUGGUCCAGAAGGAAGGUGGAGGAAGAAACUGAGCGUGUCGCUGGGGACGAGAAGGAAUAAGAUUGGGGCGGGUGUGGGGAAGAGAGGACAGGAGGGGAAAGACCACGCAGACACUAAGCGGCUGCCAGGAGGUCAGCCCCGCGCGGGGCUGGGUGGGCUCGGGGCGCGGGGGCUGCAGGCGGAGCCCCGGCGCGCCCAGUGCCCGCAGGCGCGGGAGAGCCAACCCUGGCCAGGGCCUUCCCGCAGCUCCUCGGGCUGCCUCGGCCGCAGCCGCCGGGGGCAGCAGGGCACUCGCGCGGCCGGGCCACCACGGCCAUCCCAGUCACCCCAGGCUCCCGCCUGUCCAGGCCGCGCCUCCCCCCCGCCCGCGGACCUGGCGACGUCACUGCGGCUCUGACGCGCGCUAAUGGAGGCACGGGCGGAGGCGGCGUGGCGCAGGCACCCUCCCGGGAGGUCCCGGUCCUUGCAGCCCGUGGCCGCGUUCUUGGCCCUCCUCCAGGGAAACCUCGAUUUUCCAAACUCGGGAAGGCCGGCUGUCCUUCGGCUACUGAUUAGGACGCGAGCGCCUGGUAAAAGAUUUUAACAAUGCCCGGAAAGAAAUAGCCGGACCCAGGAAAGACUAAUAGCCGCCAGCUAGAGUUCUGCUCGUGUGCUCAGCGGUCUUAAGAACAAUAAUAACGACAACCACAAUAGCCACCAUUUAUUGAGCGCUUACUCUGUGCCAGGCACUGUGUUCAGCGCUUUGCAGGCAACAACCCUCGGAGGUGAGGUCACAAGACUGGUAAGUAGCGAUGCUGGGAAUCUACCAGGAGUAUCUGACUUUAAAGUGAUGUUCCCAUCACCCAUCACGCAGAAUGUACAAGGUGAUACAGCUGAACAAAAGAGGAGUGGCUCAGAGACCAGAAGACUGAGGGAGAGUAAGGAAGACUUUUCCAUUACCUGAGUUGCAGAGCUGUUUGGGUCUAGAGAACCUGUAUAUGUGUGCUGUGUCUGCACGGAGUUCAUGACUGUGCAUCCUCUGGCUAAUGUCCAAAGUCUUCAUAACAUGGGGACUGAGAUGUACCAAAAGAAGGCCUAUCUGUGAAGGAGGACAUGUGUCCACCCACCAAGAAGUUUUUGAUGGUCAGUGUCUGCGUGUUCAGCUGCUGGAUGAAGAGAUUUGGAAACCACUAAACAUUCCUACUGGGAUCUUUCCAAGUCCUUUUGGGAAUCGGCAACAGCGCUUAUCCGUGGAAAUUAGUUUUGCACUUUCACAGAGUGAGAAAUUCCUCGGGGGCAUUCUUGUUCUUGGGAAGAGGAAUCAAACCCUGCUCACUCCUUCAGGGCCCUGGCUCUUAGUAAAGCACAGCGAAUCCCAGUUCGGUUGGUCCAGCCUGAGGCCUUGGGGUGGGAGCAGAUGCAGCAGCUGAAGUACAGCGAAUUUCACCUGUGGCUAAGUCCCUACCCCCCCCCCCCCGACUGGCGCAAGCGUGAGACUUCAGUGGAUCGUGUUACCAGCGUGUAAACACCUUGAGUGGCCGCCAACGCUCCCAAGCGACCACAGAAGAUCUCAAACCUUUCCUAUCUUCCUAGAAACCCUGGCGGCCCGGCCGGCUGCUUGCUGUCUGAUGCAACAGUUUGCAACGCUGUUCUGGGAGCCGAGCCGGCCGCGGGGCGCUGGGCGUCCUGCCGAUGCGCCUGCGCGGGCUGCGGCCCGUCCUGCCGGGAGGGGGAGAAGCUUUUCACCAGAUGUGCUGGGGGCGGGGCGGGCAGGGAGACCUUUGGCAGCUCGCGCCGGCGAUCUGAGCUUAAUUAAACUUCUCCCGAGGCAUUGGCUGACUGAUUGACCCAGUGAUCCAAAAAAAUCAGAGAGGCCCGAAUCGCCCUAAACGCGACAGGAGAGCGAAGUUGGGGAGUUGGCUUUCGGUUUCCAGAGCUCGGCCUCUCUUCCCCGAGCCCCCCAAGUCCGCAAUGCUUUCGGGGUUCCAAAGCUCACUAGGGCGUCAGGUCUCGCUUGCUUGGGCCCUUCUACUGAAUUCUCAAAGAGGGAAGAAGAGUGGUUACAGAGGAGAAAAGAGGCAAAGUUUUGAUAGCAUCUAGAUCAGUAUCUUUCCUCCUUCAUUUCUCCACCCAUGUGCCUUAGAAGGUUUUAUAAGCAAAAAGGAACAUGGCAUCACGGAUUUUUUUCCAAAUUUUUGAGCCAUUUAGGUAUUGCCUGCAUGAUUUUCUUCCAUACUCACAUUCCUCCUAUAUUAUAUAUUUUAAGUUGACUUUUAUUUUAUUAACUUUCCUUAUUUUUAAAAUUAACUUUAAAUCGAUUCCCUUUUUCUACAUAGCCUUGCCUGAAGCAACAUUAGUGAAACCACAGCUCUGAUGUGCUAGUCAUAUAUUUUAAUACACUUGAAAAUAAACUCAUAACUAGUCAAAUUAAAAAAGUAUGUGUUAGCUAAAAUGUGUCUUGUCUACUACAUUUGAAGAAAAACUCCAGAGGUAAUAACAAUAGCUAACAUAUGCUGAGUGGUUGCCAAUGUCCCAGGCACUGUUCUAAGAUUCUAAGUCCUUAGGACACCUUAGAAGGUGGGUGUUGUUUACAUUUUACAGAGGAGAAAAGUGAGCCACAGAGAGGUUAGGGAACUUGCUUAAGGUCACAGAGCCAGGAUGCAAACUCUACUAGCCUCGCUCUAGACCUAUACUGCUGGCCUAAAAAGAGGCUAAGUUACUGCCGAGAUCCCCCAGGUGGUUAGCACACUCCAGAUUUGAACCCAAGUCUGACUGACUGCAGAACUGAGCUUUUAACUAACGUGUGGGACUCUUUUGCCUAUAUUCCCAAAUCUCACCUCACACAGCCUUCUCUCUGUCCGCUUCCUUUGGAAUCCAAAAUGCGCUUCCAGGUCUUUCUCUCCUUAUUCCCCCGCCCCCUGGGUGGGACAAAGUUUCUCUUUUCUAGUGUUUUCUUCUCUUCUCUGAAUUAAA